rnacentral:rRNA from 1 species
UGACCGCUGGCGGCGUGCUUAACACAUGCAAGUCGCACGAGAAGUGACGACGGCAACCUUCGGGCGGAAGGCUUUAUUUCGAGUGGCGGACGGGUGAGUAACGCGUGGGUAACCUGCCUCAUACAGGGGGAUAACAGUUGGAAACGACUGUUAAUACCGCAUAAGACCACAGCACCGCAUGGUGCGGGGGUAAAAACUCCGGUGGUAUGAGAUGGACCCGCGUUCGAUUAGCCAGUUGGCGGGGUAACGGCCCACCAAAGCGACGAUCGAUAGCCGAUCUGAGAGGAUGACCGGCCACAUUGGGACUGAGACACGGCCCAAACUCCUACGGGAGGCAGCAGUGGGGAAUAUUGCACAAUGGGGGAAACCCUGAUGCAGCGACGCCGCGUGAGUGAAGAAGUAUUUCGGUAUGUAAAGCUCUAUCAGCAGGGAAGAAAAUGACGGUACCUGAGUAAGAAGCCCCGGCUAACUACGUG